AUCUAUGAACGAAGCUGGAGUUUCUUUAUUCAAAGCAUAGGUGUAGCAAUUGCUAUUCAAAGUUUACUCGAGGCAUGAGUAAGCGAGCGCCUUCUCCUCGGACAGCUCCUGGGCGGUAGCAUCCAUCUUCUUCCUCGAGAACUCAUCGAUCGGGAGGCCUACCAUGACAUGAUAAAAGAUCAGGCACCUUGGAAAUUUUUAACUCAGGGAUUUUUGGAAACUAGGUGCAUUGUAACUGUAAUCUACAAUAAAACAAUAUGACUGAAGCCCUGAACAAUGGCCUAGGGCCACAUACCCAAUUCCUACCAUAUUAAUGGCAAGUUUUUCUCUCCCUGAAAUCCUUUAGGCCAAAAUAACUACACAUGCAGAAUGCAGAUUUUCGCACACCAAAGGCUAGGGGAGAAACUACACCAUCCAGCUAUCCAAAACACAGUUAACCAGAAAGAUGCUGUAUGAACAAACAAGGCACCAAACAGCUGGAAAGAUUACAACAGCAGCAUACCUUGAACGAUUUUCCAUUCACCGCCGCUGCAUGUUACUGGGAAUGAGUAGAUCAGUCCAGCAGGCACACCGUACGAACCAUCAGAGUACACACCCAUGGAAACAAAUGUUCCCUACAACCAAAGAAAUGAAGGUGUUGAUGCUAGUGUGUAUUCAAAACCAAUAGAAGCGAGAGGGUCCAAGUCACUGAAGCUAACCUCAGGGGUUCCAAGAACCCAAUCACGGAUGUGGUCACAAGCAGAGCUGGCAGCAGAAAGAGCACUGGAGAACUUCCUUGCCUUGAUGAUUGCAGCACCACGCUGCUGGACGGUCGUGAUGAAUUCCCCAUUUAGCCUGUUAGAAAGAAAGGGCGACCAUCAGUUCCUAUCUACCAGGAAAUAGAAACAGACACCGAUAUCAUAAAUUGUGGCAUUUGAGAUUUACCAUUCAUCAUCAGCAACAAGUUCACGAACAGGCUUAUCUCCACUGGAAGUCUUCACUGUGGCAUGGUUAACAUCAGGGUACUGAGAGGAUGAGUGGUUACCCCAUAUAAUAACAUUCUUCACAUCACUGACUUGGACAUUAAGUCUCUCAGAAAUUUGGCCAAGAGCCCUGUUGUGGUCCAGACGGGUCAAGCAGGUAACAUUCCUCUCAGGAAUAGAUGGAGCAAAUUCUUUCAAGAUAAGAGCAUUGGUAUUUGCUGGGUUGGCAACAACCAGAACCUGCAGAGCACAGACAAGGUAUUGCAAAUCAACAAGUAGAAACAGCAAAGAAACAUAAUGAAGCAGACAUGGCUCCUCCGAAAAACAAGGGUACAUAAUAACUGAAAUUUAGAUAGAUCAUUUGAGUUCACAUUUUAUUGAGGAUACUUGUCAAGGUACAAGGCAAUGCAGAUAAUCACGGUCAUUCAAGCUCAUAAAAUGAUAAAAUUGGGUAAGCCCAUUUCAUAGUGGCCGUAGAGUGCACUAUGAAUGUAUCACCACCCAGAUGAUUAAAUCACAUGACAACAAUGUAUCCUAAAUGACUAGACUCAGUGCGUGGUGACGAUGGAUCACAUCAAUAAUGAGCCCUCUUCCACCUAUAUGUAGUUUGAGAUUAAGUUUCUUUUGAAGUGGACAACCUACAUGACUGAACCCAGUGUGAUAGAUGACAGUGCAUCACCACCUUGACAAAAUUAAGUGCAUGAUGACAGCUACUAUAAAAAUUGAAGGGUGUAUAUGAUGCAGAUGCAGCCUAUACCUUGCAGUUGGGGGCCGCAUGAGCUUCGAGGGCAGAUGCUUGACCUUUGUAGAUUGAAACAUUUUUCGACAUAACAUCUUUCCUCUCCAUUCCCUCCUUCCUGGGGAAUCCACCAACCAUGACCGCAACAUUCACACCAGUGCAGGCCUCCACAACAUCAGUUGUCGCGACGACUCC
rnacentral:lncRNA from 1 species